AACGACUCUCCGUGUAGCUCGCUCCCCAGCCUGUUCCCCAAUCUCUCGUCGACGGCGGUGGCUGCCCAGAUAGGCAGAUCCGGUGCUUCCACGGUGGACGAUGGUUACUCCCAUGGCACUUACUCCUUGCCUCCUCCCCUCCUACUUCGGCAUCUAGGUCGCUUGGCUCCGUCCCCAGGCCACCACAUCAUCGCGCUGCACAUCGUCGUCAGCGACCGGGCAGCCGCCGCCAUGGUCUCCUCGUCCCUGGUGGCCGCCGGUGUCCCGCCCGCUCAGCACAUUCCUACAUCCAGAUGCAAGCUAGUAGUGAUCUAGUCCAUGGUGAUGCUGCCACUAUCUUCUCCUCCCCGUUGCUCCUAGACCCAGCAAUAGCUCACCGGAGGCAAGCCGGUGGUGUUCGAACUCCUCGCCUCCUUCGCCUCGCAGGAUCGGAAACAAGGUCUGAUCUCUCCCAGCACAAGAAGCUCGAUGAGCGCACUAGUAACGGAGGCUUUUCUGUUGUGUACCAUCAAGUAGCAAAAGUUGACGCAUUUUUUACUCGUAAUGCUUGCUGAAACGGCGAUUAUUUUGGUCCUUCAUAAUUAGCCUUGCAUGAGAUGUACCAAAAAUGAUCCUCUCAUGAUACGCUACACUUGAUAAGAUAUGUACGUGUGUGUCUCUUCUGUUGUGUUUGGUCUGGGAUCGUGCAAUUUCAAAUGUAUGUUUUGUUA